UACGUAGGGUGCGAGCGUUAAUCGGAAUUACUGGGCGUAAAGCGCACGUAGGCGGACCGGAAAGUCAGAGGUGAAAUCCCAGGGCUCAACCUUGGAACUGCCUUUGAAACUCCUGGUCUUGAGGUCGAGAGAGGUGAGUGGAAUUCCGAGUGUAGAGGUGAAAUUCGUAGAUAUUCGGAGGAACACCAGUGGCGAAGGCGGCUCACUGGCUCGAUACUGACGCUGAGGUGCGAAAGCGUGGGGAGCAAACAGG
rnacentral:rRNA from 1 species